GACGAACGCUGGCGGCGUGCUUAACACAUGCAAGUCGAACGGAAAGGCCCUGCUUUUGUGGGGUGCUCGAGUGGCGAACGGGUGAGUAACACGUGAGUAACCUGCCCUUGACUUUGGGAUAACUUCAGGAAACUGGGGCUCUUAUCGGAUAGGAGCUCCUGCUGCAUGUUGGGGGUUGGAAAGUUUCGGCGGUUGUGGAUGGACUCGCGGCUUAUCAGCUUGUUGGUGGGGUAGUGGCUUACCAAGGCUUUGACGGGUAGCCGGCCUGAGAGGGUGAACGGCGACCAGGGGACUAAGAUAGGGCCCAGACUCCAACGGGAGGCAGCAGUGGGGAAUAUUGCACAGUGGGCGGAAGCCAGAGGCAGCAACCCCGCGUGCGGGAUGACGGCCUUCGGGUUGUGAACCGCUUUCGCCUGUAACGAGGCGUGAGUGACGGUAAUGGGUAAAAAAGCACCGGCUAACUACGUG
rnacentral:rRNA from 1 species